GAUGAACGCUAGCGGCAGGCUUAAUACAUGCAAGUCGAGGGGCAGCACGGGUAGCAAUACCUGGUGGCGACCGGCAAACGGGUGCGGAACACGUACGCAACCUUCCCAUAACUGGUGAAUAGCCCUCCGAAAGGAGGAUUAAUACACCGUAACUUAACGAAGUGGCAUCACUUUGUUAAUAUAGGCUUCGGCCGGUUUUGGAUGGGCGUGCGCCUGAUUAGGUAGUUGGCGGGGUAACGGCCCACCAAGCCUGCGAUCAGUAACUGGUGUGAGAGCACGACCAGUCACACGGGCACUGAGACACGGGCCCGACUCCUACGGGAGGCAGCAGUAAGGAAUAUUGGUCAAUGGACGAAAGUCUGAACCAGCCAUGCCGCGUGAAGGAUUAAGGCCCUCUGGGUUGUAAACUUCUUUUAUCUGGGACGAAAAAAGGGUAUUCUUACUCACUUGACGGUACCAGAGGAAUAAGCACCGGCUAACUCCGUGCCAGCAGCCGCGGUAAUGUCUGUACU
rnacentral:rRNA from 1 species